CAGAAACAGAAUACUUGAAAUUAGGACUUAGUAAUUUUGAUUUGUCAGAGGUCACACAAUUGCAAAGUGGCCACGGUGAGUGCCCGGUCUUCCAUCGCCAAGUGCAGGACUCUGUUGCUACACCCAGUCCCACUUUAACUCAGAAAGCUGAUAAUGAGUUUCCAGGUAGAAAAUGAGCUGUAGUUGGCAUCCUCAAAUACUAAAAUAAUUGGUACUCAGUAAUAAAAGCUGUGAGUGCAUGUGGUCAAGAGAUCGAGAUUUUGCUAGAGUGAUGAAUGGAGUCAUGAUUCCAGGGAACAGAUUCAAGAUCUGAUUUGGAGGCAGGACCAAGAGAAUGAUUCCAUGGACACGUAUGUGUGUGUACAGUUAAAAGAUCCUGAGACUCCAGUGUAUGACCUUUUCCAAGCUUUGCUUGCCUGGCUGGCAGUCAGGUUACUAUGGGUCAGGGCCUGGAGGCUUCAUCGGCUGUUUUCCCCUGGGGGACAGAAUGAGACCUCAUAAUGAAGUAAGGAGUUUAAGUAUUGUUUAUCAUCCUUCUAGUUGAUAAUAUUUAAAAUAAAUCAUCAAAUUACUUCUAGAAAUUUCA
rnacentral:lncRNA from 1 species